rnacentral:rRNA from 1 species
GGCAGACGGGUGAGUAACACGUGGAUAACCUGCCCCUUAGUGGGGAAUAACCCAGGGAAACUUGGGCUAAUACCGCAUAACAUCGUUUCCUCCCUGGGGGAGGCGAUUAAAGGUGGGGAUCGAAAGACCUACCGCUAUGGGAGGGGUCCGCGUCUGAUUAGCUUGUUGGUGGGGUAAUGGCCUACCAAGGCUUCGAUCAGUAGCCGGCCUGAGAGGGUGACCGGCCACACUGGAACUGAGACACGGUCCAG